UCCUGCUCUCGGUGUCGACGGGCACCUCGGGCUCACGCUCGUCCACUUCAGGGGCCAGAUGGCGGUGCUAGCCAGGGACGCGCCUAGGGCAACACACGCAGGGCCUGCCCCCCUCCCCGUCGCCAAGGACAUCCAGUCGACAGGGUCCAUCCAGUGAUGCGCUAGCAGGAGUCGAGUCGCUGAGGCCCGGGCUUCUGAUGACCGGAGCCGCCGCAUCGACUAAUGACACUUGCUGUUCUUAUUUAACCAGUGGCUUAUUUUUUAUAUUAAAUGGGGAUACCAAUGAAUUGGAUUCAAAUAUAAGUAGUAAUCCUCCAAAGAACUUCGCUUCUAGUUUCGAUUUGAAUUGCCAACUGGUUUUCAUACAGGAAUUACAUUUUUAGUGUGCUUGAUCCAUUGACGGUUGUCAUCCAUUGCCGUAGUGGUACAAACUACCCUUUCCUUUGCCAUAUGCUUUGAUGGGAAGACUUCUUAGGAUCGAUUAAACCAACAUCUUGGCUCCUUUGUUCUGGACCCUCAAUAAUCAGUUGACCUUUGCUGCCUCAUCUCAAAGAUUUGACUGCUCAUAUCACUUGGCAUUAUUGGACCUGCAGCUCAAUUGCAUAUAACUCAUGAUAAAAGAGUACACUGUCAUGCAGUUUGGAGCAUUAUCAUUAGCUGCUGUGUUACUUGAAACAAAGAAACAUCAUGGAUUGAACUUGCUUAAAUGGGUAAAGGAAGUCGAAGGAGAUCCUUAUGCCCACUUGUCCUUCAAGGUAGCUCAAAAAUUUCGUUUCUUUCAACCCACCUGAUGUGAUUGCUUCAAUUCUACUCGAUCGUCAGUAUAUUUCCAUUUCCAGUUGCACCUAAGAGGUUUUUUUUUAAACUACGAAUUUUACUUGGUGUAAACAUAUCUCCUUCUGUUUGUUAACAUUCGUACUGCUGACACGGGCUGCAGUUCAUUUUUACAGCAUGUGAUCUGGAGGCUAUAUCUAAGUUAAGUAGCAUCAGUUUAGUCCUAGUAUUUAUACAGUCGGUUGAAAUUCAAUAAGUAGAUGUUCUGAAUUAUUAGUGCUCAGUGUGUGUUAUCCAGCUGCUGAUACGUUGCAGAGUGUUGAUCAGACCAAUUUGAAAGGAGCAGGGGGAGAAAUAAUGAUGCGUCUAGUCUGGAGACAGUUUCAUCAAUGUUAUCGAUUUAGCUUAUUAUUUCUGUACCACCUUAGUGUGUUCUAUAGGAUAGUGUUCCAAUCUUCUUUUCUGCCAUGUGUUCUGAUGUCGAUUGUUGUAACGGUUUGAGGGCAUUAAUUUGCUAUCGACUGGGAAUGCACACUUGA